rnacentral:lncRNA from 1 species
CUGCUGCCACAAAGACGUGUCUUGCUUCCCCUUCGCCAUCUGCCUUGAUUGUGAGGCCUCCCCAGCCACGUGGAACAACUUUGCUGCUCUAUUGCCAAACUACUCAUAUCCCCCUGUUACUGUGAAACUUGGUGAAAUUCCUCAGGGAUUUUGAGACAUCAAAGCAAUCUCUCUAGUUCUGGAAAGACUGAAUUUGCAGCAUCUGCUGAAAUGAGGUCUUCAGCUCCCGGACAUAGAAGAGCAAGACAUGUAUGGAAAAAUGCUAUCGUGGGAGGAGACAAGGGUAUGAUUCAAGUGCUGGGAUGUUGUUAAAGAAAAAAGACACGAUAGUGAUCUGAAAGAAAAGGGUCAGACAAAGAAGACUGAUGAUAAGCAAUAAUUUAAUUCACCUAAAGCUCAGACAAGCCAUGAAUAGAUCUAUCAAAAUCAAAUCAGUAACUGACAUUUGUACAAAACAUGCAAUUAAUCCAAAGGUUUAUAGCCUUUCAAGAUAAAUAACUGUCAUGACGGAAUCCAUCCUUUACUGAAGGAGUGUUUCAUCUGAAAGACACAGAGGCUUUUACAGCAUUGCUGAAAGUUCAGCAGAAAAUACAGCAGAAUUUUCAGCUUUGUUGUAAAAGGUAACACAGUAUCAAUGACUGGUUUCCAAGAAGUGUGUCAAUUUUUUUUUAUUACUUUCAUGUAAACUAUAAGUUGAAUACCAUUGAUUUAUUAGGUAAAAAUGCUGUCAUGUAAAUUACAAUAAUAAACACAACCUAUCAACAUAAAAGCAAUGCCAGUAUUUCUUCUCCAAAUAUCUUCAUUUGUUUCAAAAAGUCAUUCACAUAAAAUGGGCAUGUUGGCUCAUAUUGAGUAUAUUUUUCUUAGAAAAUACAAUAAUGGUAUUCUAAUGAACAAAUUUUUCACAAAAAUUUUCUUCCCGUUACUUUAACAAAACCAUUAUGGAGUACUGCAUUUUGGUUUAAUCAUAGGAGUUCCCUCUUACAGUCCACAGGUGUAGAGUUGUAAAUAAAUGGGAUAUCCCAUGUCAUAUGAGAAGGGGAAAUGCUAAUGUUGGGAUCAAAAGUGUGGUUCUGGAGACAAAUCGUGUUCAAAUAUCUACUCUGCCUCUUACUAACUAAAUGAUUGUGGGCAAGUUAUUAAAGACCCUUAAGACUCAGUUGCUUCACUGGAAAAUGGAGAUAAUAACAGUACAUAUAUUAAUGGGUUGCUAUGGUUAAAUAUAAUAAUUCCUAUAAAGGACUUAGCACAGUGCCUACUCAGUUCUCAUCCAGUGCUCAGUUCACCAUCAUCUGCCUUCUGUACCUACUACACUAUGUAAAUGCAUAGUUACCUAUCUAGAUUGUUCUUUCCCAGGUCAAGAGCAGAUAUAUGUCCUGUGUAUGUCUCCAUGCCUUCAAAAGCUGUG